rnacentral:piRNA from 1 species
UCCAAACUCACCCCGGGUAUUCUUUCCCGAC